GACCGGCUCAUCUGUCAAACAGUGAUGCAGGUAUUGUAAGCCGAGCUCAGGGAGGGACAGAAACCUCUCGUAGAGCAGAAGCACAAAAGCUUUCUUCGUGUUGAUUUUCGGUAUGAAUACAGAGAAAAGG
rnacentral:ncRNA from 1 species